AUCCACCCGGGUCUCACAGCAAACACUGGCCGCCGGAACCUGCUACCUGAUUUGUGGGGCUCAGAGCCUAUUGAAAAAGCAGGGCCCACGUUCAGAGCCUGCAGAAUUUCAGGAUGCUGAUGGCAGAGCGCUAAACCCAGCUUGAGGCCCCUCUCAGCCCCGGGGGCCCCGUGCGGCCAGGGCCGGCCGAGAAAUGCAGACGGACAGAGCCUUCACACAACAGCACCGGGCCUCCGAGUCCCCCGCAAGGACCAUGGCUGUAGGGCCGGGUGGCCGGAGCCCAGGCUGGGCCGGACGAAGCUGGCCUGGAAUCCAGCAUCUGUGGCUUUGGGUGAGAUGCGGAUGCGUCACCCCAGGCGCCUCAGUGUCCUCAUCUGUUCCGUGGGAUCAGAAGCUGGCUGCGCGGGACCACGGGACACAGGCGGGCAAGCAGGUGCUCAAGGGGACGGACGUGGCUCAAGAAUGCCCAUGAGUACGAUACAGUGAGGCCUCCUGACGCGGUCAAGAUCAAGGGCUCCUCCGCAAGGACCGGCAUGUGUUUUUCCAACCACAGAUUGUAUAAAACCUAAAUACAGA